rnacentral:lncRNA from 1 species
GCUCGAUUGAGGCUCCGAACCCUGGUGCACCUUUUUGAGAAAGUAAGAGCAAGAGGAACCACAGCUGUCUCCCAUCAGUCCUCCCGGGUAGGGGAGCCUUUGCUCUGCUUGUUUGUUCCGGUGAUGCAAAGUGAAAGCAAGCUUGAAUCUUGUUGGAGAGAAAUUCUGCCUAAUCUUUGAACCUUGACCAGCCCUUUGUGUUCCGGCCCAGCUCAAUGAUCCACGAAGAUUUAAAGCACCUUCCUGGGACUGCUCCUUAUUGAGAAAAUUGUAAAGCUGAUAGAAAAUUACCUGGAGUUGCUGGCAGUCUUCUUGGCUGUUGACUGUGGAGAGUGUGAAAUACAGAGAAAGCACGACAGAGAGGCUCUGUUUGAACACUUGAAUUUGGUCACAUUUUAGGACAAGAAAAUGUAUAAUUAUGACUACCUGGUCCACUAAAAUGCUAUUUUGAGAAAAAUUGUGCAUUCAUUUUAUCUGGAUCCUUCAGGAAAAUGAAACUCAGCUUGUUUUGGAUAAUCCCCACUUACAUGAAAUGCCCAAGUAUGGAUCAAAAUAAUAAAAUUAAUCCGCAGAUGAUU